rnacentral:lncRNA from 1 species
UGGGGCACUUGGCGAAGCCUGGGUUUCCUGUAGUGGUUGGUACAUGCUAAAUGGUGGAGCCUAGAGAAUUAUAGUGAUGGUGGUGAUGACCACAAGGUGAUCAAGUGCUCAACUUGAAAAUGAAGAAAGAGAGAAACAAAAUCCUAUGGAGACCAAGAAAAAUAUAUUGCUUAGGGUUUUGGUUUUGGUGAUCAAGCACCAUAGAAGGUGUGAUCACACUUAGGAUAGAUAGCCGUACCAUAA